rnacentral:rRNA from 1 species
AUUGAACGCUGGCGGCAUGCCUUACACAUGCAAGUCGAACGGCAGCACGGGAGCAAUCCUGGUGGCGAGUGGCGUACGGGUGAGUAAAGUAUCGGAACGUGCCCAGUCGUGGGGGAUAACGUAGCGAAAGUUACGCUAAUACCGCAUACGAUCUAUGGAUGAAAGCGGGGGAUCGCAAGACCUCGCGCGAUUGGAGCAGCCGAUAUCAGAUUAGGUAGUUGGGGGGGUAAAGGCUCACCAAGCCGACGAUCUGUAGCUGGUCUGAGAGGACGACCAGCCACACUGGGACUGAGACACGGCCCAGACUCCUACGGGAGGCAGCAGUGGGGAAUUUUGGACAAUGGGCGAAAGCCUGAUCCAGCCAUGCCGCGUGCAGGAUGAAGGCCUUCGGGUUGUAAACUGCUUUUGUACGGAACGAAAAGGUUUGGGCUAAUAAGCUGAGCUCAUGACGGUACCGUAAGAAUAAGCACCGGCUAACUACGUGCCAGCCGCCGCAGUAA